rnacentral:lncRNA from 1 species
UACGUAUCGUAUCGGCCACUUUUACACAGCACUGCUGUUUGGAUCAGUGAGCUGCAGUUCCUCAUCCAGCCACUAGAUGGAACUACAGAGCUUGAACAUACCUGCAGACAUGAGCCGAGGAAACCUUACCUUGCUACCAGGUGCAGCUCGUUAACAGCCAAUUACAGCUUCUGAGUUUGUGUUUUCACCAUUUCUGCAGUUUAUAUGUGUAAAACUAAUGUACCUAGAGGAGGAAAGAGAAAAAAUAUAUAUAUUUGAACCCCACCAACUGGAAAAUACUGCUUUCGGGAGUCCAUCUUUCAGCUCAAAUAGGAAAUUCGGAGGAGGGGUAUUCUUUCAUUCCUCUGGUCUGGGCAGCUCAGUCAUCCCGUCGUCCUUAAACUGUCAUCCUCAGUAAUGAUCACACCCUGCUGGGGCAGGUGUAGUGUGUGUGUGAGUUAAUGUCACCAUGAAACCCACCUGAGCAGCUCCGAGGAGUCUCCACUCUGGUUCUCUGC